CUUGGUCAUUUAGAGGAAGUAAAAGUCGUAACAAGGUCUCCGUUGGUGAACCAGCGGAGGGAUCAUUACCGAGUUUACAACUCCCAAACCCCUGUGAACAUACCAAUUGUUGCCUCGGCGGAUCAGCCCGCUCCCGGUAAAACGGAACGGCCCGCCAGAGGACCCCUAAACUCUGUUUCUAUAUGUAACUUCUGAGUAAAACCAUAAAUAAAUCAAAACUUUCAACAACGGAUCUCUUGGUUCUGGCAUCGAUGAAGAACGCAGCAAAAUGCGAUAAGUAAUGUGAAUUGCAGAAUUCAGUGAAUCAUCGAAUCUUUGAACGCACAUUGCGCCCGCCAGUAUUCUGGCGGGCAUGCCUGUUCGAGCGUCAUUUCAACCCUCAAGCCCCCGGGUUUGGUGUUGGGGAUCGGCGAGCCUCACGGCAAGCCGGCCCCGAAAUACAGUGGCGGUCUCGCUGCAGCUUCCAUUGCGUAGUAGUAAAACCCUCGCAACUGGUACGCGGCGCGGCGGCCAAGCCGUUAAACCCCCAACUUCUGAAUGUUGACCUCGGAUCAGGUAGGAAUACCCGCUGAACUUAAGCAUAUCAAUAAGCGGAGGA
rnacentral:rRNA from 1 species